rnacentral:misc_RNA from 1 species
AAGUCGUAACAAGGUUUCCGUAGGUGAACCUGCGGAAGGAUCAUUAUUGAAUAACUUUGAAUACUUUCUGAACUGUGCUGCCUUCUAGGAUGUGCACGUUUGAAAGUACUUCUUUGUCCACCUGUGCACCUUUUGUAGACUCUGGAUUAUCACUUCUCGUCUUAAAUGAACGGAUUGAAGGGUUGCGUUAUACGCUCUCUUUGGGUUUUCCAGGUCUAUGUUUUAUACUAUACUCUGAAUGUUUAGAAUGUCUUGUUUAUUGGACUUCACUGUCCUAUAAAAACUUAUACAACUUUCAACAACGGAUCUCUUGGCUCUC